rnacentral:rRNA from 1 species
GAUGCAGCAACGCCGCGUGCGGGAUGACGGCCCUAGGGUUGUAAACCGCUUUCAGCAGGGAAGAAACUGACGGUACCUGCAGAAGAAGGUGCGGCCAACUACGUGCCAGCAGCCGCGGUGACACGUAGGCACCAAGCGUUAUCCGGAUUUAUUGGGCGUAAAGAGCUCGUAGGCGGUUUAGUAAGUCGGGUGUGAAAACUCUGGGCUUAACCCAGAGAGGCCACCCGAUACUGCUAUGACUUGAGUACGGUAGGGGAGCGGGGAAUUCCUGGUGUAGCGGUGAAAUGCGCAGAUAUCAGGAAGAACACCGGUGGCGAAGGCGCCGCUCUGGGCCGAAACUGACGCUGAGGAGCGAAAGCGUGGGUAGCAAACAGGAUUAGAUACCCUGGUAGUCCACGCCGUAAACGUUGGGCACUAGGUGUGGGUCUCAACUAACGAAAUCCGCGCCGUAGCUAACGCAUUAAGUGCCCCGCCUGGGGAGUACGGUCGCAAGACUAAAACUC